AGUAAAAUGCCUGAUAAAAAGGAUUACCUUGAUAGGGUAAAUAAUGCAUAAUAUUAAUGUUUUUACUU
rnacentral:tRNA from 1 species